UUAAUUAAAACCAAAAAGAGGUAUAUCACUGUUAAUGGUAAAACUGGAGAUUUUUCCUAAUUAAA
rnacentral:tRNA from 2 species